rnacentral:rRNA from 1 species
GCUCUCUGGUGAUUCAUAAUAACUUCUCGAAUCGCACGGCCUUGCGCCGGCGAUGGUUCAUUCAAAUUUCUGCCCUAUCAACUUUCGACGGCUGGGUCUUGGCCAGCCAUGGUGACAACGGGUAACGGAGGGUUAGGGCUCGACCCCGGAGAAGGAGCCUGAGAAACGGCUACUACAUCCAAGGAAGGCAGCAGGCGCGCAAAUUACCCAAUCCCGACUCGGGGAGGUAGUGACAAUAAAUACUGAUACAGGGCUCUUUUGGGUCUUGUAAUUGGAAUGAGUACAAUUUAAAUCCCUUAACGAGGAACAAUUGGAGGGCAAGUCUGGUGCCAGCAGCCGCGGUAAUUCCAGCUCCAAUAGCGUAUAUUAAAGUUGUUGCAGUUAAAAAGCUCGUAGUUGAACCUUGGGCCUGGCUGGCCGGUCCGCCUCACCGCGUGCACUGGUCCGGCCGGGCCUUUCCCUCUGGGGAACCGCAUGCCCUUCACUGGGUGUGUCGGGGAACCAGCACUUUUACUUUGAACAAAUUAGAUCGCUUAAAGAAGGCCUAUGCUCGAAUACAUCAGCAUGGAAUAAUAGAAUAGGACGUGUGGUUCUAUUUUGUUGGUUUCUAGGACCGCCGUAAUGAUUAAUAGGGACAGUCGGGGGCAUCAGUAUUCAAUUGUCAGAGGUGAAAUUCUUGGAUUUAUUGAAGACUAACUACUGCGAAAGCAUUUGCCAAGGAUGUUUUCAUUAAUCAGGAACGAAAGUUAGGGGAUCGAAGACGAUCAGAUACCGCCGUAGUCUUAACCAUAAACUAUGCCGACUAGGGAUCGGACGAUGUUAUAUUUUGACUCGUUCGGCACCUUACACGAAAGUAAAGUUUCUGGGUUCUGGGGGGAGUAUGGUCGCAAGGCUGA